GACGAACGCUGGCGGCGUGCUUAACACAUGCAAGUCGAACGGAAAGGCCUCCUUCUGGGUGUGGGUGCUCGAGGGGCGAACGGGUGAGUAACACGUGGCUGAUCUGUCCUGUACUUCGGGAUAAGCUAGAGUAGCUGGGAUUAAGGCCGGGUAGGCCCACGGCUUAGUGUCGCAUGGAGGAAAGAUUAUUGUUUUGGUGCAGGAUGAGCUCGCGGCCUAUCAGCUUGGUGGUGGGGUAAUGGCCUACCAGGGCGUCGACGGGUAGCGGGGCUGCGAGGGUGGACGGCGACAGGGGGACUGAGAUAAUGGCGAGACUCCUACGGGAGGCAGCAGUGGGGAAGAUAGCAGAAGGGGCGAUAGCAUGAUGCGGCGACGCCGCAUGGAGGAUGGCGGCCUUCGGGAUGUAAGCCCCUUUCGUUUGGGCCGCAGCCGCACUUUUUGAGGGUGUGGGGACGGUACCUUGGUAAAGAAGCACCGGCUAACUACGUG
rnacentral:rRNA from 1 species